AAACCAUGAUGAGGACAUUGAGACCAAUAGCCCUUGAACCUCUCCCAUGCUUCACUGAACCUCUCUAGACUUUUCUGUUGAAACCCAUAGAUUUCGUUCCUGAUCUU
rnacentral:snoRNA from 1 species